rnacentral:rRNA from 1 species
GACGAACGCUGGCGGCGUGCUUAACACAUGCAAGUCGAACGGAAAGGCCCUGCUUUUGUGGGGUGCUCGAGUGGCGAACGGGUGAGUAACACGUGAGUAACCUGCCCUUGACUUUGGGAUAACUUCAGGAAACUGGGGCUAAUAUCGGAUAGGAGCUCUUGCUGCAUGGUGGGGGUUGGAAAGUUUCGGCGGUUGGGGAUGGACGCGGGGUUUAUCAGCUUGUUGGUGGGUUAGUGGCUUACCAAGGCUUUGACGGGUAGCCGGCCUGAGAGCGUGACCGGCCACACUGGUACUAAGAUUCAGACCGGAGUGCUUCAGUAGGCAGGAGAGGGGAAUUGUGCACAAUCGGCUGAGGCCUGAUGCAGCGACGCCGCGUGCGGGAUGACGGCCGUCGGGUUGUAAACCGCGUUAGCCUGUGACGAUACGUGAGUGACGGUAAUGGAUAAAUAAGCACCGGCUGACUACGCG